rnacentral:RNase_P_RNA from 1 species
CGGGCUGGCCGGGCGAUCGCGUCGUCUCCUCGCUUCGCGGGGUGGCGUCGAGGAAAGUCCGGGCUCCACAGGACAGGGUGGUGGCUAACGGCCACCCGGGGUGACCCGCGGGACAGUGCCACAGAGAACAGACCGCCGCUGCCUUCCAGGUAGCGGUAAGGGUGAAACGGUGGGGUAAGAGCCCACCAGUCCUCGUGGUGACACGAGGAGCUAGGUAAACCCCACCCGGAGCAAGGCCAGACAGCAUGCGCCCGAGGGCUGUCCGCCCGAGCAUGCGGGUAGGUUGCUAGAGACCAUCGGCAACGAUGGCCCGAGAUGGAUGAUCGCCGAUCACAGAACCCGGCUUACAGGCCAGCCCGUCCG